rfam:Picea glauca, whole genome shotgun sequence.
CAUAACUUUUUUGCCUUCAAGCAAUAUCACAGACAACCUUCCAUCCAAAGUCAACAAAAUUGAAACCCAUUUUUGAGAGUUGUUGGUGCCUUAUCCUAUAACUGAUGGAAAUGUUAGUAAAUCUGGAGACGUCGUCGAGGGCCCCGGGAAGACUUAUCUUUUAUUUUUAACAACUUUCCCACCCUGAAAUCGGAUCAACCAGAGAUAGGGUCCAGCAACUGGAAGAGCAUCACACGUCUUGCGAUGUCCGGUGCACCCUCAGUGGCCCUUGAAAAUAUGGAGGACCGAGUACCAUCCAUGCUCGGUCGUACUCAUAACCACAUCAGGUCUCCAAGGUGAACAACCUCUGGUAAAUAGAACAAUGUAGGUAAGGGAAGUUGGAAAAAUCGAUCCGUAACUUUGGGAAAAGGAUUGGCUCUGAGGGUUGGGCCUAGGGGUUUGUGUCCUCAACCCGUGGGCUUUCGGUAGUCUGCCCGUGGGACUGUCAUUGAUUAAUUCUACCUCAUUUUGAAUGGCAGUGCAACUAAUUAAUGCUACCUCCUUUUGAAUGGUAGAGAACCACCUAUCAUUCAUGAUCCAACACAUAGUAGUCAAGAAUCCCAUCCAUUGCUAAUUUUUGGGCUCUAAAGAUGU